GAUGAACGCUGGCGGCGUGCUUAACACAUGCAAGUCGAACGAUGAAGCCCAGCUUGCUGGGUGGAUUAGUGGCGAACGGGUGAGUAACACGUGAGUAACCUGCCCUUAACUCUGGGAUAAGCCUGGGAAACUGGGCCAAUUACGGGAAAGGAGGGCCUACCGAAGGGGGGGGGUGGGAAAGAUUAAUCGGUUUUGGUUGGACUCGCGGCCUAUCGGCUUGUUGGUGAGGUAAUGGCUCACCAAGGCGACGACGGGUAGCCGGCCUGAGAGGGUGACCGGCCACACUGGGACUGAGACACGGCCCAGACUCCUACGGGAGGCAGCAGUGGGGAAUAUUGCUCAAUGGGCGAAAGCCUGAUGCAGCGACGCCGCGUGAGGGAUGACGGCCUUCGGGUUGUAAACCUCUUUCAGUAGGGAAGAAGCGAAAGUGACGGUACCUGCAGAAGAAGCACCGGCUAACUACGUG
rnacentral:rRNA from 1 species